AUUGAACGCUGGCGGCAUGCUUAACACAUGCAGGUCGAACGGCAGCAUGGUCUAGUUUACUAGACUGAUGGCGAGUGGCGGACGGGUGAGUAACGCGUAGGAAUAUACCUUAAAGAGGGGGAUAACUUGGGGAAACUCAAGCUAAUACCGCGUAAGCUCUGAGGAGUAAAGCUGGGGACCUUCGGGCCUGGCGCUUUAAGAAUAGCCUGCGUCCGAUUAGCUAGUUGGUAGGGUAAAGGCCUACCAAGGCGACGAUCGGUAGCUGGUCUGAGGGGAUGAUCAGCCACACUGGGACUGGGACACGGCCCAGACUCCUACGGGAGGCAGCAGUGGGGAAUAUUGGACAAUGGGGGGAACCCUGAUCCAGCAAUGCCGCGUGUGUGAAGAAGGCCUGAGGGUUGUAAAGCACUAUCAGUUGGGAGGAGGAGAGUAGGGUUAAUAGUCCUAUUUGAAGACGUUACCGACAGAAGAAGCACCGGCUAACUCCGUGCCAGCAGCCGCAGUAA
rnacentral:rRNA from 1 species